GCUGACGUAGCUCAAUUGGCAGAGCACCUGAUUUGUAAUCAGGCGGUUGCCAGUUCGAUUCUGGCCGUCAGCU
rnacentral:tRNA from 1 species